rnacentral:lncRNA from 1 species
GCAGUUCUAUUUGCUGUUCUCCUCCUCCCAUUCCUAACAAGCCGUGUACAGUUGUGGAUCCCCCCAGAUGAACUUGAUGGCUGAAGUAGUGUAUGAGUCAAGCUUUUCUCCAAAGACACCUGAAUUCACCCCAGGCUCCUCUACUCCUCUACUUGGAUACAAGGACAGAAAAAUUCCCUGCUCAGUGGAGCUGAGAAGACUGAUGGUGCAGUGCUUCUACAAGCGUCACCAAAGGGACAUAACCUUCUUGAAGUGCUGGUGUGUCUGGAACAAAGCAGGGCUAUCUAAACUCUUCCCCAUAUGACUCUGCAUUGCAAAGACAGUCGAGCUGUUGACACUGAGCACCUUGGAUUGCAUGAACUUGUGGAUAUCUGUAAUGUCACCGAUCACCA